GCGGACGGGUGAGUAAUGCCUAGGAAUCUGCCUGGUAGUGGGGGACAACGUUUCGAAAGGAACGCUAAUACCGCAUACGUCCUACGGGAGAAAGCAGGGGACCUUCGGGCCUUGCGCUAUCAGAUGAGCCUAGGUCGGAUUAGCUAGUUGGUGAGGUAAUGGCUCACCAAGGCGACGAUCCGUAACUGGUCUGAGAGGAUGAUCAGUCACACUGGAACUGAGACACGGUCCAGACUCCUACGGGAGGCAGCAGUGGGGAAUAUUGGACAAUGGGCGAAAGCCUGAUCCAGCCAUGCCGCGUGUGUGAAGAAGGUCUUCGGAUUGUAAAGCACUUUAAGUUGGGAGGAAGGGUUGUAGAUUAAUACUCUGCAAUUUUGACGUUACCGACAGAAUAAGCACCGGCUAACUCUGUGCCAGCAGCCGCGGUAAUACAGAGGGUGCAAGCGUUAAUCGGAAUUACUGGGCGUAAAGCGCGCGUAGGUGGUUUGUUAAGUUGGAUGUGAAAGCCCCGGGCUCAACCUGGGAACUGCAUUCAAAACUGACAAGCUAGAGUAUGGUAGAGGGUGGUGGAAUUUCCUGUGUAGCGGUGAAAUGCGUAGAUAUAGGAAGGAACACCAGUGGCGAAGGCGACCACCUGG
rnacentral:rRNA from 1 species